rnacentral:rRNA from 1 species
UGGGGAAUAUUGCACAAUGGGCGGAAGCCUGAUGCAGCGACGCCGCGUGAGGGAUGACGGCCUUCGGGUUGUAAACCUCUUUCGACCCUGACGAAGCGGAAGUGACGGUAGGGGGAGAAGAAGCGCCGGCCAACUACGUGCCAGCAGCCGCGGUAAGACGUAGGGCGCGAGCGUUGUCCGGAUUUAUUGGGCGUAAAGAGCUCGUAGGCGGCUUGUUGCGUCGACUGUGAAAUCCCGCGGCUUAACCGCGGGCUUGCAGUUGAUACGGGCGGGCUAGAGUUCGGUAGGGGAGACUGGAAUUCCUGGUGUAGCGGUGAAAUGCGCAGAUAUCAGGAGGAACACCGGUGGCGAAGGCGGGUCUCUGGGCCGAUACUGACGCUGAGGAGCGAAAGCGUGGGGAGCGAA